GUAGAUGAAAUUUGGAAGGCACCUAGGAGGAUCCUGAGUACGGCGGAACACGAGGAAUUCCGUCGGAAUCCGGGAGGACCAUCUCCCAAGGCUAAAUACUCCCUAGUGACCGAUAGUGAACCAGUACCGUGAGGGAAAGGUGAAAAGCACCCCGGAAGGGGAGUGAAAUAGAACCUGAAACCGUGUGCCUACAACAAGUCAAAGCCCGUUAAUGGGUGAUGGCGUGCCUUUUGUAGAAUGAACCGGCGAGUUACGAUUGCAUGCGAGGUUAAGUUGAAGAGACGGAGCCGCAGCGAAAGCGAGUCUGAAUAGGGCGUUUGAGUAUGUAGUCGUAGACCCGAAACCAUGUGAUCUACCCAUGUCCAGGUUGAAGGUGCGGUAAAACGCAC
rnacentral:rRNA from 1 species